UGCCCAGACUCCUAGGAGGCAGCAGUGGGGCCUCUCUCACAAUGUUCUCCCGCCUGAUUCCCCAACGCCGCGUGCCUCCAGACGGUCUUCCGCUUGUAAACUCCUCUCAAUAGGGAACAAAGAAAUGACCGUCGCUAAAUAAGACGCCCCGGCUAACUACGUGCCAGCAGCCGCGGUAAUACGUAGGGGGCAAGCGUUAUCCGGAAUUACUGGGUGUAAAGGGAGAGUAGGCGGCAAGGUAAGCGAUAUGUGAAAGCCUUAAGCUUAACUAAAGGAUUGCAUAACGAACUAUCUAGCUAGAGUACAGGAGAGGAAAGCGGAAUUCCUAGUGUAGCGGUGAAAUGCGUAGAUAUUAGGAAGAACACCAGUGGCGAAGGCGGCUUUCUGGACUGAAACUGACGCUGAGGCUCGAAAGCGUGGGGAGCGAACAGGAUUAGAUACCCCGGUA
rnacentral:rRNA from 1 species